UCGCAACGUUCACCAACUUUGUAAUACGCAAACCAUAACCGCAACGUUCUCCUCAAGACGAGUGACCUGUGGUCGCUGACACUGGAAGGUCGUUUCCACUUCACAUCGACGUACCUACUCGUUGUAGUCUAUAGUUUUAUGAUUCUACAAGCUGAUCUUAGGAAUUUGUUGUUCACAUUUUCUUACGUUAAAUGUUUUGACGAUACGAUAAUUAUAUCGAACGAAGUUUUUUCGAAUUAUUUUAAAUAAUCAAGGUCGUUCUUUACUUUCUUCAAAUACUUUCUUAUAUUACAAAGAAGAACGGAGUUCGCAGUGACCUUUCGUGCAUUGUCUUUGAAUUUAAUAUGCUGAAUGCCGUGUUGUUCAUCAAUGAUCGUCACACGUUUCUAUUAAUAUAAUCUAUAAAUAUAAUCGAUGAUUAAAAAAAUAAGAAGAUGUUAAAAAAUAAUGAAAACUAAUCAAUUAUAUGAAAUAAUGAACUAUGAUGAAAUAUAAGGAACGAUAAAAAAAUAAAACGAUGAAAUACAUGCGUGAUGUCGAAUUUUAUAAAAAUGGCAUGGCAGUCAAGGCGUAAUGAAAAGCAGGUAUAAAAGAUUGAGGUGAUUCAAUCAAAAGUUUUAGUAUUUUGAUUGAGUAGUGCCGCUAUCUGGUAAGUUCGUAAUUGAACAUGAGAUAUCAUUUUCUUAUACGCGAAUCCUCGAGGAGGUUUACGGCGUAACUAAUCUGACGUCAAUUGAAUCCCAUUAAAAGGUAUUAUAGAUUCGUUUAUGUUCUUUGUAAGCCCAAAGAAAUAGAGAUUUUGGAAUUGAAAAAGAAGAAAAAGAAAUUACAAAGUUUAAAUGAUAGACGAAGAUGAAGGAAGUGAAUCUUUGUAUUUGAGGUCGUUAACCUGACUCGAAGGAACCCCAAAAAACGGGAUUUGAAAUGUACAUACGUGUACGGGAUGUUACUGAAUUAUAUGCGCAAACUUUCAAGACUGGUUGAAUUCAUUAAAAAAGAAAUUUAAACAAGAAAUGUUAGCAUACUUGCAUUGUAAUUGAAUAAGAUUCGCAACGAUAUCUUCUGCCUUAAUUAUUUCGAUAAGUGAAUUCUACCAACCGGCAUAAUUUGCAUACGUAUAAAGUAAUAAGAGAAAGAGGACAGGAGAAACCCGAGAAACGAAUUUCGAAUGAAAUAGUUCGAAGAAGAGUGUUACUCACUCGUGAGAUCUUUCAAUCGGUAUUCCGGAAAUUUACCAAAUACCAAGGAAUCUUUUCUAGAUUAUUGAUUUUUUGUUAUUAAUAUAACUAUUCUGAAUUAAUAUUAAGAAAUAGCAUUGAAAUUUAUCACAUUUUUAAUGAGCGAUAUAAUUCGUAAUUCAAUCACGAAUAUUCUCUAAUCGAAUUCGAAAAGAUCGAGCAGUUUCGAUUUUUGAAACAUGUUAAAACCACGUUCGAUCUUGCGAUAAAACACAAAUAAUUAUCGUUUGUCGCGAAUGCUAAUUAUAUUACCACAUCGUUAGUAUAUAAAUACAUACAAACGAUUUUCGUGUACCCGCAUGUUCUAUUGUUACACGUUGAUAUCCUUGACGAGGAUGUAAGAAUUAAAUCCGGAAAUGUUAAAGUUCAA
rnacentral:lncRNA from 1 species